ACAAACUUGGUCAUUUAGAGGAAGUAAAAGUCGUAACAAGGUUUCCGUAGGUGAACCUGCGGAAGGAUCAUUACAAAGAGUUAUUGCCCCUUUAUGGGGUAGACUUUUCAACCCUUAUGUUUUUAACUUAAUGUUGCUUUGGCGGGUCAUUGUACCCGCCAGAGGGAAAUUAAAAACUCUUUUUUGACUAUUUAUUUGAAGUUUACUAGUUAAAAAAAAACUUUCAACAACGGAUCUCUUGGUUCUGGCAUCGAUGAAGAACGCAGC
rnacentral:misc_RNA from 1 species